rnacentral:rRNA from 1 species
UACGGAGGAUCCAAGCGUUAUCCGGAUUCAUUGGGUUUAAAGGGUGCGUAGGCGGAACGAUAAGUCAGUGGUGAAAGCCUGCAGCUUAACCGCAGAACUGCCAUUGAUACUGUCGAUCUUGAGUAUAUUUGAUGUGGGCAGAAUGUGUCAUGUAGCGAUGAAAUACUUAGAUAUGACACAGAACACCGAUUGCGAAGGCAGCACACAAAACUAUAACUGACGCUGAGGCACGAAAGCGUGGGGAUCAAACAGG